CUUUUAUCUCUUUUCUUGCCUGAUUAAACUGGCCAGCACCUCCAGUGUCAUAUGGAAAAGAACUGUUGAGAGUGGGCCUCCUUGCCUGGUCCCUGAUCUUGAAGCAGAAAGCAUUCAGUCUUUCACCAAUUUGCAAGUUCAGGAAACGGCUCCAAUUGAAAUGGCUCCAAUUCAUCCCAUCUUCAGGACGAGACUCUUCUUAAAGGAUCUUAAAUAAAGAAUAUCAUAACUGUAGCAGAAAAGAAGAGUGGGAUCCUGCUGGGAGACCCUCAAUACAAUAAAGUGAUGGGUGCACCCCUGUCCUAAGGAAACAUUACCAUGUGUCUUUGGAAAGAGGAUUCUGCAGUCACAGGUGUGCAAAGCUGUAGAUGGGUCUAUAUUGAAUUUUCCAAGGAGGAGCCAUCUUUCUUCAGUGACAUUCAAUUUCUAGUUUCUCUGCUGAUCAUCAGUUUUCUUCAGAAGUCUGACACAAGGGUAUGAUGUUUGGGCAGAAAUCAUGCAAAAAGCCUCCCUGAUCAUGGGCUGCAUUUCCAGUGUCACAGAGUGCCUUCCAGGAAGGAAAGUUCUGGGACCCUGACAGGGAAGGAAAACAAGGAGACACCCACAGUGAUGUAAAUGCUGCUGGGGCCAGGGUGUCGUCAAGCCACCUUCCCACCCAACCCAGGGCCACCAGACAUGUUCAGAGAGCUCCAGCCAGGGCUCCUGAUGCCUGUUCUAAAGCCAGCGCCCCACCACAGAACUGCAAGGCAGGAAGGAAAAUCUGGGCCAUAAAUACUUUUCUGCCUUUGUCAAGAAUAAAGUAAUCCACAAUUAUUUUGCUUUGGUGAGCUGUAGAAUAGAAGUCUCUCCUAAAAUUCAGCCUUGAGCUAUAGCCGUACGGCCCUUGGAGGCCUUCACUUGGUGUCUCACAUGUUUCUCCAGGGAAACCAGACUUUCCCCUAAAACAUGUCUGUUUUGAAACUUCCCUCCUCACAGCUUGACUCCUGUGUUGGUAUGCUUCUUCUCACCUCAUAGCCACCCUAGAUGGCGCAUCUGUUCUCCUUUGUCCAGAUUUGGACCAGAUUCAUAACUGGAUCAUGGGGCUCACUCCUCCUCUCUCUGAUCCAUUAAAAUGUUAAGCAGAUUGUCUCACUACCCUGUGCCAACCCUUCAUUGAUUUCAUUGCAAUUAGAAUAAAAUCAGAUCUUCUCACCAUAGCCGGUGGCCCCUAGCCUAGACCUCUGCCCAUCAAUCUGACCUCACUUCCCUCCAUGUUCCCCUUCAUCAUCACACUGGACACAUGGGUCUCCUCAUUUUCCUGGCCAUGGCCAGCUCCCCCUACCUCUGGGACACCGCUGAGUGGCCUUUCUGCCUGGUCAGCUCUUUCCCAGUCUACACAUGGCUUUCACUGUGCAUGGGCCAUCCCUGAACACCUUCCCUAUGGUAAAUACUUCCAUUCCCACCAUUAUUAAACCAUCUCUUUUCUUCAUGUUACUUAAAACAGUUUAAACUGUCUUAUAUUAUGCAUUGUGUUCUUGAAUUGUAUGUGUCUCUGGCUCUAGAAUGUGAGCUCCAGGAGGGGUGGACCACACCUGUCUGGUUCAGAGUUAUAAGCAGAGUGCCUGGGCCAGGGCCUGACCCUGAGGGGUCUUCCAUCCUUUACUAAAGGAUUAUGUUACAUUCACAUUUAAUUGUAUGUCUACACACAGGUCAUCACAAUGAGAAAUGAGAAUAUUUCACAUAGUGCUGCCAAAACAUGAUCAAGAGGAAGUUAUUGUAUAAAAAAGUUUAUAGAAAGACCUUGUCCAUUAAGAAUCGUUGCUAUAUACUAUAAACAUCUGUUCUACUUUAAGUUGUGAGUGAUAAAUAAAUGACAAGCAAUAGGAUAUAUUGGAGCAUAUGAGGAAGCCAUUUGGGGUAAAACUAAGUCGGCCUUGGUUUGUUUUUCCAAAAGAGCCUGUCACCUGCAUUGUGUGUCAGCCUAGCCACGUCCCAAAGAGAAGAGUAAAUGCCCUUAAGAUAAGGAUACAACUUCCCCCACAUUGGCAUUUCCUUAAGGAUAAGAAUUUCUCCCUGAUUUGAUUGCUGCACUCAUCCUAUAAUCACCCAGCUUGAGACAACAGACCCGACACCAGCCACACCCAUCGAGACACCAGACCUGCUCCCUGCUGUGUCCAUCAAUAGCUAUUCUGGCAGGGCAAUCUGACAGGGUGAUCUUGUGGCUAUUGUAAAUGGGACAUUGGAAUCCUAUGUGAUACAUGCUCUUUGACAGUAUAUAACUGCUCUGUACACCCCACUUCUUUGGUGCCCUUCCUUCCUUACAGAAGGAAUGCCCUGGGAUAUGGUCCUCAAAAGUUGGCUCAUAACAAACUCACCCCAAUUUAGAUUUAUGGAUUGAUUAUGGAUUAUUUACAUCAAC